CUGCCCAUAGCUCAACUGGAUAGAGCAGCGGCCUUCUAAGCCGCAGGUUCCGGGUUCGAUUCCUGGUGGGCAGGCCA
rnacentral:tRNA from 1 species